ACGAACGCUGGCGGCGUGCUUAACACAUGCAAGUCGAACGAAGCUUGAUUACGGAUUCUUCGGAUGAAGUAUGAUAUGACUGAGUGGCGGACGGGUGAGUAACGCGUGAGUAACCUGCCCUUCAGAGGGGGAUAGCGUUUGGAAACGAACGGUAAUACCGCAUAAUGUAUUUUGACCGCAUGAUCGAAAUACCAAAGAUUUAUCGCUGAAGGAUGGACUCGCGUCUGAUUAGGUAGUUGGUGGGGUAACGGCCUACCAAGCCGACGAUCAGUAGCCGGACUGAGAGGUUGAUCGGCCACAUUGGGACUGAGACACGGCCCAGACUCCUACGGGAGGCAGCAGUGGGGAAUAUUGCACAAUGGGCGCAAGCCUGAUGCAGCAACGCCGCGUGAAGGAAGACGGUUUUCGGAUUGUAAACUUCUGUUCUUAGUGAAGAAUAAUGACGGUAGCUAAGGAGCAAGCCACGGCUAACUACGUGCCAGCAGCCGCGGUAAUACGUAGGUGGCAAGCGUUGUCCGGAAUUACUGGGUGUAAAGGGAGCGCAGGCGGGUGAUCAAGUCAGCUGUGAAAACUACGGGCUUAACCCGUAGACUGCAGUUGAAACUGUUCAUCUUGAGUGAAGUAGAGGUUGGCGGAAUUCCGAGUGUAGCGGUGAAAUGCGUAGAUAUUCGGAGGAACACCGGUGGCGAAGGCGGCCAACUGGGCUUUAACUGACGCUGAGGCUCGAAAGUGUGGGGAGCAAACAGGAUUAGAUACCCUGGUAGUCCACGCCGUAAACGAUGAGUGCUAAGUGUUGGAGGGUUUCCGCCCUUCAGUGCUGCAGCAAACGCAUUAAGCACUCCGCCUGGGGAGUACGACCGCAAGGUUGAAACUCAAAGGAAUUGACGGGGGCCCGCACAAGCGGUGGAGCAUGUGGUUUAAUUCGAUGCAACGCGAAGAACCUUACCUGGUCUUGACAUCCACGGAAGUUUUCAGAGAUGAGAAUGUGCCUUCGGGAACCGUGAGACAGGUGCUGCAUGGCUGUCGUCAGCUCGUGUUGUGAAAUGUUGGGUUAAGUCCCGCAACGAGCGCAACCCUUGCCUUUAGUUGCCAUCAUUAAGUUGGGCACUCUAGAGGGACUGCCAGGGAUAACCUGGAGGAAGGUGGGGAUGACGUCAAAUCAUCAUGCCCUUUAUGACUUGGGCUACACACGUACUACAAUGGCGUUAAACAAAGAGAAGCAAGACCGCGAGGUGGAGCAAAACUUCAAAAAUGGUCUCAGUUCGGACUGCAGGCUGCAACCCGCCUGCACGAAGUUGGAAUUGCUAGUAAUCGUGGAUCAGCAUGCCACGGUGAAUACGUUCCCGGGUCUUGUACACACCGCCCGUCACACCAUGGGAGCCGGUAACACCCGAAGUCAGUAGUCUAACCGCAAGGAGGACGCUGCCGAAGGUGGGAUUGGCGACUGGGGUG
rnacentral:rRNA from 1 species